rnacentral:rRNA from 1 species
ACCUGCGGAGUCUUACCAAAUAUGAGGCGGGCUGGACCUCUCGGGGUUACAGGCUUGCUGAAUUGUUCACCCUUGUCUUUUGCGGACUUCUUGUUUCCUUGGGGGGUUCGCCCACCACUAGGACAAAGAUAAACCUUUUGUAAUUGCAAUCCCCGUCAGUAACAAAUUAAUAAUUACAACUUUCAACAACGGAUCUCUUGUUUCUGGCAUCUAUGAAGAACGCAUCGAAUGGCUAUAAGUACUGUGAAUUGCACAAUUCAGUGAAUCAUCGAAUCUUUGAACGCACAUUGCGCCCUUUGGUAUUCCAAAGGGCAUGCCUGGUCCAGCGUCAUUUGUACCCUCAAGCUUUGGUUGGAGUUGGGCGUCUUGUCUCUAGCUUUGCUGGAGACUCGCCUUAAAGUAAUUGGCAGCCGGCCUACUGGUUUCUGAACGCAAUUGAAGUCCGACUCUCUGUCAGCAAAGGGCUAGCAUCCAUUAAGCCUUUUUUUCAACUUUUGACCUCGGAUCAAGUAGGGAUACCCGCUGAACUUAACCAUAUCAAUAAGGCGGAGGAACUGAACUUAAGCAUAUCAAUAAGACGGAAGAACGCUAUGG